rnacentral:rRNA from 1 species
UACGGAGGGUGCGAGCGUUAAUCGGAAUUACUGGGCGUAAAGGGUGCGUAGGUGGUGGAGUAAGUUAUCUGUGAAAUUCCUGGGCUUAACCUGGGGUGGUCAGAUAAAACUGCUUUACUUGAGUAUGGGAGAGGGUAGUGGAAUUUCCGGUGUAGCGGUGAAAUGCGUAGAGAUCGGAAGGAACACCGGUGGCGAAGGCGGCUACCUGGCCUAAUACUGACACUGAGGCACGAAAGCGUGGGGAGCAAACAGG